AUGCACGCUGGCGGCGUGCCUAAUACAUGCAAGUCGAGCGAACGGACGAGAAGCUUGCUUCUCUGAUGUUAGCGGCGGACGGGUGAGUAACACGUGGAUAACCUACCUAUAAGACUGGGAUAACUUCGGGAAACCGGAGCUAAUACCGGAUGAUAUUUUGAACCGCAUGGUUCAAAAGUGAAAGACGGUCUUGCUGUCACUUAUAGAUGGAUCCGCGCUGCAUUAGCUAGUUGGUAAGGUAACGGCUUACCAAGGCAACGAUGCAUAGCCGACCUGAGAGGGUGAUCGGCCACACUGGAACUGAGACACGGUCCAGACUCCUACGGGAGGCAGCAGUAGGGAAUCUUCCGCAAUGGGCGAAAGCCUGACGGAGCAACGCCGCGUGAGUGAUGAAGGUCUUCGGAUCGUAAAACUCUGUUAUUAGGGAAGAACAUAUGUGUAAGUAACUGUGCACAUCCUGACGGUACCUAAUCAGAAAGCCACGGCUAACUACGUG
rnacentral:rRNA from 1 species